rnacentral:rRNA from 2 species
UAGGUUGGGUGUGUAAGCGCUGUGAGGCGUUGAGCUAACCAAUACUAAUUGCCCGUGAGGCUUGACCAUAUAACACCCAAGCAAUU